UUAUAUUUCACAUAUUUGGUUCAUCUUUGAUUAUAUUUUUGAUAUGUGUAUUCUUUCUUUAGUAGUUUAGUGUUAAUUACUUACAUUGCUCCAAAGAGAAUGCUUAGAACAGCACCUAUGAUGUCCCCUCCACUGGCCCUUCCCGCAGUAAUGACAACGGCUCCAAUCCAUACAAUGAGACUCCAACAGCAAAAAGUGACAGUUUGAAACAUUCCUAUGCCUACUCCCUUCACCAAUGCUUCUUGCUUGCUCAUCACAACCAGUUUCUCGCAUUGCUCUGCAAACGCCUUCAUGCAACCUCUCUCCCCCACAAAUGCGUACACUGCUCUGAUUUGAGAUAUUGACUGCUCCAUACAUAUCAGCCCCAAUUGCAAGAACCAAUGGAGCAACCAAGAGUGUGAGCAAUGACACUUCCCAACAGCUUAUGAUAGCAAUCACAAACCCACUCAUGAAAGUCGCCACACUUGAUAGAAAAUGCCCCAACUGUAUAGUAUUAGAGAAGGUUUAGAAGAAACGAACAUAAACCGUUUCUUUUAUCUCUUCCAUAAUUUGAUAUCGCAUUAAUCGGUCUCAAAUCCAAAACUGUAAGUCGAUAGAUGAUGAUCAAUUUAAUCAUUUGUUUAUAGUGA